AUACGGAGGGUGCAAGCGUUCCUCGGAAUCACUGGGCGUAAAGCGCGCGCAGGCGGGCUGAUAAGUUGGAUGUGAAAGCCUACGGCUCAACCGUAGAACUGCAUCCAAAACUGUCAGUCUAGAGUCUGGGAGGGGAAGAUGGAAUUAGUUGUGUAGGGGUAAAAUCCGUAGAGAUAACUAGGAAUACCAAAAGCGAAGGCGAUCUUCUGGAACAGUACUGACGCUGAGGCGCGAAAGCGUGGGGAGCAAACAGGAUUAGAAACCCUAGUAGUCC
rnacentral:rRNA from 1 species